CCUACGGGAGGCAGCAGUGGGGGAUAUUGCACAAUGGGGGAAACCCUGAUGCAGCGACGCCGCGUGGGUGAAGAAGCGCCUCGGCGCGUAAAGCCCUGUCAGCAGGGAAGAAAAUGACGGUACCUGAAGAAGAAGCCCCGGCUAACUACGUGCCAGCAGCCGCGGUAAUACGUAGGGGGCAAGCGUUAUCCGGAUUUACUGGGCGUAAAGGGGGCGCAGACGGCGAUGCAAGCCAGGAGUGAAAGCCCGGGGCCCAACCCCGGGAAUGCUCUUGGAACUGCGUGGCUAGAGUGCAGGAGGGGCGGGCGGAAUUCCUGGUGUAGCGGUGAAAUGCGUAGAUAUCAGGAGGAACACCGGUGGCGAAGGCGGCCUGCUGGACUGCAACUGACGUUGAGGCCCGAAAGCGUGGGGAGCAAACAGGAUUAGAUACCCGAGUAGUC
rnacentral:rRNA from 1 species